rnacentral:rRNA from 1 species
AUGGGACGAACCACAGUUAACCCUAUUUGGAACAAGAUAUGGAAGUUAUCUUGUCUGACAAAAGUUAAUUUUUUUAUAUGGCGUACACUACAUGGAACACUCCCCUGCCGGGUUACGCUCGCUAAUAGACAUAUGAAGGUCUCGCCCAUUUGUCCCACUUGCUUUGAGGGCUUAGAAGAUACGAAGCAUAUGCUUUUCCGUUGUAGUAAAGCAAAGGGGGUUUGGGAAAGGCUGGGGAUGAACGAUAUUAUUGAUAAAGCUUGCGAGAUUGACCAUUCUGGAGAGGCAAUGUUGGAGUACUUACUACUUCCGGACCAAGAUUUGAGGAUAAUGGAUUACCACAAUGUGCGUGAGAUGAUUGCUGUCUCGGCAUGGUAUUUAUGGUGGGAAAGACGGAAGUUGGUGCACAGGGAGAAAACUCAAAAUGCACUUCAGAUUUCAAUGGGGUUUCUAGCCCUUACCACAAACUUCGUAAAUGCAUCGUCCCCCAAGGCUUCUACGAAGAAGGAGGAUGGUCUUGUCCCCCCAGAGGUUUUGUGA